rnacentral:lncRNA from 1 species
UUUGAAGCUCGGUCCCUUGUGUUGAAAGGUCGGUUCCUAAUUUCGUCAAGGCAGAAACAACGAUCUGGAUCAGAAGUGAAGAUACAUUGAUGGAACAUGGAGUAUGUAUGUUAUUAAUAACAACGUUCUUCUUCUUCUUGUGUGUAAGUAUUAGCGGGAUGAGGUCUAAUUGUAUAAGUUUUUUGUUCCCGUUUCUAUGAAAGUUUGUAUGCAAUCAUGGAAGGUUCUUGUUUGUUGCAGA